CAUCUACUCCCUCCGUCCGAAAAAGCUUGUCCCAAGCUUGUCCAUCGAAUGAAUGUAUCUAGCACUAAUUUGAUGCUAAUACAUUCAUUCGAGGGACAAGCUUUUUCGGGCGGAGGGAGUACCUC
rfam:Triticum urartu cultivar G1812 contig1191423, whole genome shotgun sequence.